rnacentral:tRNA from 1 species
UCUAGGAUGUGGUGUGAUAGGUAGCAUGGAGAAUUUUGGAUUCUCAGGGGUAGGUUCAAUUCCUAUAUUCUAGAA